rnacentral:rRNA from 1 species
GAGUUUGAUCCUGGCUCAGAACGAACGCUGGCGGCGUGCCUAACACAUGCAAGUCGAACGUGAUCCAGAGCUUGCUCUGGUGAAAGUGGCGCACGGGUGAGUAACGCGUGGAUAACCUACCCUGGUAUCCGGGAUAACAUUCCGAAAGGGGUGCCMAUACCGGAUAAGCCCACGGGCUCUUUGGAGCUUGCGGGAAAAGGUGGCCUCUAUUUAUAAGCUACUGUAUCAGGAUGGGUCCGCGUACCAUUAGCUAGUUGGCGGUGUAACGGACCACCAAGGCGACGAUGGUUAGCUGGUCUGAGAGGAUGAUCAGCCACACUGGAACUGAGACACGGUCCAGACUCCUACGGGAGGCAGCAGUGGGGAAUUUUGCGCAAUGGGGGAAACCCUGACGCAGCAACGCCGCGUGAGUGAUGAAGGCCUUUGGGUCGUAAAGCUCUGUCAGAGGGGAAGAAAUGAUAUAGUGCUAAUACCACUUUAUCUUGACGGUACCCUCAAAGGAAGCACCGGCUAACUCCGUGCCAGCAGCCGCGGUAAUAC